rnacentral:misc_RNA from 1 species
GCAAACUUGGUCAUUUAGAGGAAGUAAAAGUCGUAACAAGGUUUCCGUAGGUGAACCUGCGGAAGGAUCAUUAAAAGUUUUAGAGGUAUGGAGCCGGCCGAAAGGUUGGCCUCCUAUCAUCUCAAACCACACUGUGAACUCACCUUUUUUAAACUAUUUUUUCAAUCACAUGUCUCUGUCUGAAAUUGGUUUUUAAACAAACAAGUUAAAACUUUCAACAACGGAUCUCUUGGUUCUCGCAUCGAUGAAGAACGCAGC